AGUGAACGCUGGCGGUAGGCCUAACACAUGCAAGUCGAACGGCAGCACAGUAAGAGCUUGCUCUUACGGGUGGCGAGUGGCGGACGGGUGAGGAAUACAUCGGAAUCUACUUUUUCGUGGGGGAUAACGUAGGGAAACUUACGCUAAUACCGCAUACGACCUACGGGUGAAAGCAGGGGAUCUUCGGACCUUGCGCGAUUGAAUGAGCCGAUGUCGGAUUAGCUAGUUGGCGGGGUAAAGGCCCACCAAGGCGACGAUCCGUAGCUGGUCUGAGAGGGUGAUCAGCCACACUGGAACUGAGAGACGGUCCAGACUCCUACGGGAGGCAGCAGUGGGGAAGAUUGACAAUGGGCGCAAGCCUGAUCCAGCCAUACCGCGUGGGUGAAGAAGGCCUUCGGGUUGUAAAGCCCUUUUGUUGGGAAAGAAAAGCAGCAGGUUAAUACCCCGCUGUUCUGACGGUACCCAAAGAAUAAGCACCGGCUAACUUCGUG
rnacentral:rRNA from 1 species